GUGCUCACUUUGGUAGUACAUAUACUAAAAUUGGAAUGAUACAGAGAAGAUUGACAUGGCCCCUGUGCAAGGAUGACAUUCAAAUUCUUUUUUUUUUUAAAGAUUUU
ensembl:snRNA U6 U6 spliceosomal RNA